UACGGAGGAUGCGAGCGUUAUCCGGAUUUAUUGGGUUUAAAGGGUGCGUAGGCGGCCGAGUAAGUCAGCAGUGAAAUUUUGCAGCUUAACUGUAACAGUGCCGUUGAUACUGCAUGGCUAGGAUUUGGUUGCUGUGGGUGGAAUGUGUGGUGUAGCGGUGAAAUGCUUAGAUAUCACACAGAAUAUCAAUUGCGAAGGCAGCUCACAAAGCCAAGAUUGACGCUGAGGCACGAAAGUGUGGGGAU
rnacentral:rRNA from 1 species